CCCCGUGGACAGUACCAUUUUGUCCACUGAGCAGGGCCACUGUGAACAUGGCAACUUACGUUUGGUGCACCUCUGGGAGCCAGGGGCUUUACUCCAGCCAAGGCAGCACUGCCCUCCACACACAUUGACCCUGAAACAAACAAGACCCCUGAGUCCAGCAGCAGUGGCACUCCCAAGAGCCCCUGCUUCCAAGAGGUCCCUGCAAGGCCAGUGCCUGGCUUCCACAUUCCUCUGGAUUCAAAUGAUUCCCACGGGGCACCCAGGAUGCCCACCCCAAAGCUGCCCAAGGACCAGAAGAACCAUAUAUCAGACAAGUAACGGCCAAAGCCCCAGGUGACGCUGCCGGUGCCUCACGCUCAUCUCUGGAGGCCUGUGCUGAGGACAGAGCCCCUGUGUGCCAUAUUCGCAGUGCUCCAGCAUCCACAGUAAACGCAUGUGUUAAAUGAA